UACGUAGGGGGCAAGCGUUGUCCGGAAUCAUUGGGCGUAAAGGGCUCGUAGGCGGUUUGUCACGUCGGGAGUGAAAACUCAGGGCUUAACCCUGAGCGUGCUUCCGAUACGGGCUGACUAGAGGGAUGCAGGGGAGAACGGAAUUCCUGGUGUAGCGGUGGGAAUGCGCAGAUAUCAGGAGGAACACCGGUGGCGAAGGCGGUUCUCUGGGCAUUACCUGACGUGAGGAGCGAAAGUGUGGGGAGCGAACAGG
rnacentral:rRNA from 1 species